rnacentral:rRNA from 1 species
CCUACGGGAGGCAGCAGUAGGGAAUCUUCCACAAUGGACGCAAGUCUGAUGGAGCAACGCCGCGUGAGUGAAGAAGGCUUUCGGGUCGUAAAACUCUGUUGUUGGAGAAGAAUGGUCGGCAGAGUAACUGUUGUCGGCGUGACGGUAUCCAACCAGAAAGCCACGGCUAACUACGUGCCAGCAGCCGCGGUAAUACGUAGGUGGCAAGCGUUAUCCGGAUUUAUUGGGCGUAAAGCGAGCGCAGGCGGUUUUUUAAGUCUGAUGUGAAAGCCCUCGGCUUAACCGAGGAAGUGCAUCGGAAACUGGGAAACUUGAGUGCAGAAGAGGACAGUGGAACUCCAUGUGUAGCGGUGAAAUGCGUAGAUAUAUGGAAGAACACCAGUGGCGAAGGCGGCUGUCUGGUCUGUAACUGACGCUGAGGCUCGAAAGCAUGGGUAGCGAACAGGAUUAGAUACCCUUGUAGUC